GUAGGUUCAAUUCCUAU
rnacentral:tRNA from 1 species